GAAUCUUCCUCCCCUCGUUCACUCUACGCCACUGUUCCCUUUCACAAGCACUUCUUCAUACACCCAGCGCCCAGACCGGUACGGCCACCUAACCAGACCCUUCUCUCACGUGUUCCACGGCAAUGGCGAACCCUAUUCUCGCAGGAAACGGCAACUCUCCUGACCUCGGCCCAUCGUCUGCUCUUAUCUUCCUCGGGACUGGGUGCUCCAGUGCCGUUCCCAACGCAAGGUGCCUGAUCCAGCCGUCCGAUCCCCCCUGCAACAUCUGCUUCCAGUCAUUGUCGGUCCCACCAAUGCAGAAUCCUAAUUACAGGUGCAACACAUCCCUUCUAAUUGAUUAUUGUGAAAGAGAGGGUAAUCACAGCUAUAUAUUGAUUGAUGUUGGGAAGACUUUUCGGGAGCAAGUACUUCGGUGGUUUACCCUCCAUAAGAUUCCUAGAGUGGAUUCUAUUAUUUUGACUCAUGAACAUGCUGAUGCAGUUCUUGGUUUGGAUGACAUACGUGCUGUGCAACCCCAUAGCCCUACAAAUGAUAUUGAUCCCACUCCCAUAUACCUAACUCAGCAUGCAAUGGAAAGCAUUGCAGAGAAAUUUCCAUACUUGGUUCAGAAGAAACUUAAAGAAGGUCAGGAAGUGAGGCGGGUAGCACAGCUUGACUGGAAGAUAAUAGAGAGCGACUGUGAAAAACCUUUUUCUGCAUCAGGCCUUGAAGUUGUUCCUUUGCCAGUGAUGCAUGGAGAAGAUUACGUAUGUUUGGGUUUCCUCUUUGGUGACAAGUGUAGAGUAGCUUAUAUAUCUGAUGUUUCACGCUUUCCUCCAAAGACAGAGUAUGUUAUUUCGAAAAAUGGUGCUGGACAGUUGGAUAUUCUUAUAUUGGAUACAUUGUAUAAGAAAGGAUCCCAUAAUGUCCACUUUUGCUUGCCACAGACACUUGAAGCUGUGAAGAGGAUAUGUCCUAAGCAAGCCCUGUUAAUUGGAAUGACUCAUGACUUUGAUCACCACAAGGACAAUGAAUUCCUGAUGGAGUGGUCCCAAAGGGAAGGAAUACCUGUGAUGCUUGCACAUGAUGGUUUGAGAAUUCCUAUAGACCUGUGAUAUGAAACGUUGCUAAAUUGGUUUGAGAGAGAUGACCAGAAACAAAGAUCAAUGUUGAUGUUGGAGGAUGCACAGUGUAGGUAACCCAAAAACUUUUCACAGUGCAGCAGUACUCUUUAAUCAUUCUCUCCUCAUAGGUUGAUGAGCACUGAAUUAACGUGAAGAUAUCUACGCACAGUUUCCACCCGUUGGGUUUUCAGAAACUAUGGCACCAUGAUAUUAGUGUCAGACUAAUAAAAAAAAAAAUUGUAGUAGUUUCAGACUAUUUCUAUUGUCAACAACUUCAUGAAGAUUUAGAGCAAUUUUACAAGAUUGUGGGGGGAAGUGGUUUUUAUAAUUAAUAGCCGUGGGGUAGAAAUGACUUGAAUUUGUAUCUUUGAGGAACAUAUUAGUUUAUUGUGUAUUUCCAAACAAAUCUUUCUUGGAUUUGUCAAAGUUCAAAAUAAGAGGAAGUUUUCAGAUUGCAAGAGAAGUGAA